UAGGGAAUCUUCCGCAAUGGGCGAAAGCCUGACGGAGCAACGCCGCGUGAGUGAUGAAGGUCUUCGGAUCGUAAAACUCUGUUAUUAGGGAAGAACAAAUGUGUAAGUAACUAUGCACGUCUUGACGGUACCUAAUCAGAAAGCCACGGCUAACUACGUGCCAGCAGCCGCGGUAAUACGUAGGUGGCAAGCGUUAUCCGGAAUUAUUGGGCGUAAAGCGCGCGUAGGAGGUUUUAUAAGUCUGAUGGGAAAGCCCACGGCUCAACCGUGGAGGGUCAUUGGAAACUGGAAAACUUAAGUGCGGAAGAGGAAGGUGAAAUUCCAUGUGUAGCGGUGAAAUACGCAGGGAUAUGGAGGAACAACAGUGGCGAAGGCGACUUUCUGGUCUGUAACUGACGCUGAUGUGCGAAAGCGUGGGGAUCAAACAGG
rnacentral:rRNA from 1 species